GAGGGAUCAUUGCUGGAACGCGCCCCUGGCGCACCCAGAAACCCUUUGUGAACUUAUACCUACCGUUGCCUCGGCGCAGGCCGGCCCCCCUCACCGGGGGCCCCCCGGAGACGGGGAGCAGCCCGCCGGCGGCCAACCAAACUCUUGUUUCUUAGUGAAUCUCUGAGUAAAAAUCAUAAAUGAAUCAAAACUUUCAACAACGGAUCUCUUGGUUCUGGCAUCGAUGAAGAACGCAGCGAAAUGCGAUAAGUAAUGUGAAUUGCAGAAUUCAGUGAAUCAUCGAAUCUUUGAACGCACAUUGCGCCCUCUGGUAUUCCGGAGGGCAUGCCUGUUCGAGCGUCAUUUCAACCCUCAAGCCUGGCUUGGUGAUGGGGCACUGCCUUCGUAACAGAGGGCAGGCCCUGAAAUCUAGUGGCGAGCUCGCUAGGACCCCGAGCGUAGUAGUUUAUAUCUCGUUCUGGAAGGCCCUGGCGGUGCCCUGCCGUUAAACCCCCAACUUCUGAAAAUUUGACCUCGGAUCAGGUAGGAAUACCCGC
rnacentral:rRNA from 1 species